GGGGUUGAGCUUUUCUGUGUGUUCAUAGAGCGUUAAAGCUUUAUCGAACAAACCGGCUCUGUCCGACCCCUGCCAAACAAAAGCAACUUCCAUUUCCCUCUGCAGUGGGUACGUAGGGGAUGUGUGGUGCCCAGCAGUGUCGCUGAUGUGCAUAGCUUGCAGUGGGUGGGGGACAUGGUGCCAAAGCACCCAGGGGAGCAGCUAUGCUGCAUGCUGGCACCUGUUGGAGGCUCAGCUGCGGUGUGGGAUAAUGCUGGGCUGCACAAAGCUGGAAUAUACUCAAGAUUAGCCUUGCUGCAUCCACCCUGAGCAAUGUUGCAUCCAUGCUGAGCAGUGCUCUAUCCAUGCUGAGCAGUGCUGCAUCCAUCCUGAGCAAUCCACCCCAGCAAAACAUGACCCACACCAGUAAUGUUGCACUGAGCCCACCAAUGCUACACCCACUCCAUGCAAUGUUGUACCCUCUCCAAGCAAUAUAGCUUUCCGGGCCAUGCAAUGCUACAUAGACCUACCAGCGAUGCAGCAUCCACCCCAUGCAAUUCUAUGCUGACCCUUUACCAAUGCAGCACCCAUCCCAGCAGUGCUGCACCCACUCCAACAUGCAGACACUCUGGGGUGCACUGAUCAAAGUCAAAAGAAUGCAAAAUUCACCCUUCCAGAAAGCAGCAGAGCUGCUGAGGUGUCUGUAGAGGUGUGACCCAUGGAGCUGUGACAUACUGAGGUGUAACCCACAAAGUUGCCCAGUCCUGCUGCCAGUGUUCUAUCCCUCUGCUCCCUCAGCCCACUGCCAAUGCCAACCUCUGAGCCAUCCCCUCUCCAGGGGAUGCUCCUCACUGUGACCAAUCAGCCAGGUGAAUGUUGGCCCCAUGCAAAUUGUCCUUAACCCUUGGAUCUUUGCAGAGAGUAGAAAUUUUCUGACUUUUCCAAGGCCCACCUUGAUUUAUUGAUACUGCAGUUUUCUUUCACUGCACUUCCAACCCAUGGCUUGCCCAAAGCCCCAUUCAACCUGGCCUGAGCCCUUCUAGGGAUAGGGAACCCACAGCUUCUCUGGGCAGUCCGUGCCAGUGCCUCCCCACUGGAGAGCAGAGAACUUCUUCCCAGUGUCUAAUCUAAACCUACCCUCAUUCAUUGGACCUCCAGCUGCAUGCUCAGAAGAGCACUGGGAUCGCUGGGCCCUUGGGAUAUCAGCUGAACCCACCUCCUUCCACUGGGGGCAGUUGUUGUGCUGUCACCUAUUGAUUUCCAGUUCUGUUUCCAAAAUGUAUCUCCAGGACUGAGGCAAUGAGCACAGUGGAGCUCUGGGCUGGUGGAGCCUCACUUUGUUGCUUGUGGAGGGAAGCUGGCACUCAGCAUUGCUGUCAGCAGAGAUUUGCCAGCCUGAUUAUAUUCUUGAGCAUAUGCUUGGAAAUUAGAAGGUACUCUCUGAAGCCGGUGAGGUCGCUCUGAUUUAAAAUCUCAAGGCUCUGCUAGGAAAAUCCUCCUCCUCCUCCUCCUUGCCUUCUCCUCCUCCUUGCUUCUGCAAGCAAUGCAUCUUAUAUUUGGGUACCACAACCAUGAGGAGUUAAAAACCCCAAAAUCCACCUUUGCCAUGAAAAUCCUGCAGGAUCAGCAAAAUCUGUUGGCAUUUAAGUGUGUAGAUGACAAGCACCCUCCUGGUUUGUGUCUGAGUGGGCAGGCAGCACCCCAGUAUAUUUUCUGAGCUAUUUGGAAUGUUUUGGGUCAUAACAUAAUGGGGAGGGAAUGCUUGGAGACUGUGGGCUGUUCCAAACAUCCUCACCAACAGAAAUUGAGGUGUUGAACAACUGUGUCCAAUGCUGGGCAUCAGCAGCGAGGGGUCCACAGCACCUUGCAGGAGGGUCCAGCUCUCCAUGAAGCCCAUCUCACCCACUGCCAAAGCAAAUCUCUCAGUAGUUCAGAACUGAAUGGGAAAUGACAGGAAGAACCGAAGUUUGGAUGUCUCCAGUACAGGAGAUAUUCCGACCAUCACGUUGCAUUCCACUGCCAAUAACCAGCGUGCAAAUCCCAUUGAGCACUGCAUGCGGAGUAUGUGGUGAUGCACUGGGAACACACAGGUUGUCACAGUCCUGUACUUAAGAAGAGCUUGAAAUCUUCCCACUGUGAUGAAAACGCUGUUUCAUGUUAUCACCAUUCCUUAUGAAGCACUGAAAUGAAGCAACGUUUGUGGGAAGAAACAGAAGUUUUAUUAGAUCAACUGGAGUGAUUGCGGACAGCCCCACAGCCUUUGGGGACUGCAGCUUUCUGAGUGCUGCUAAUGGCAAUGCACAAGUUUUUGCAUUGGCACAGGCUGCCCAGAGACACUGUGGAUGCCUCAUCCCUGGAGGUGCUCAGGGCCAGGCUGGAUGGGGCCCUGGAAAGCCUGAUGAAGUGGGAGUUGUCCUUGCCCAUGGCAGGGGUUGGAUCCAGAUGGGCACUGUGGUCCCUUCCAACACAAACCGCUCUGUAGUUCUCUGAUUCUAUGAUUUACCUUCCCAAGUCUUUCAUUUUUCUGUAAUUUCUGGAACUGUACAGCCAAACCAAGCACUUGAAUCAUGGAAGCAGCUGCACAGGAGGCACUAAAUACUGACCAUGUCAGAAGUGCUCCACGUCUUCCCCAUGUCUGGGUACAUCCCGCCAGCCCCUUUGAAUUGAAUCAGAGAAGAAUGCUCCCAGCUUUCAGCUCUGGAAAGCAGUGUACUGGGGAGCAAAUGUGAAAAUAAAUGAUGGUUCUAAAAUGAAAACCAGCAGGACCUAGCCUUGGGCAAGGGAGGUUCAUGCAGCACAUUUGCUAUGUUAACCUCAAGCUCAGCAAUAAGGCAUGUUUUGCAAAUAGGACAGGGUGAUGCCAGCUGUUAUUCUUUUUGGAAAUGAGGGCGAUGGGGAGAGGAUUUUGCCUGUUCAGAAAGAAGAAGAUCCUGACAUUUCUGCAUAAGUUGCAAUGGCUUUCCAUGGAGGUUGUGUUUCUGGGUGGUCUGACUUGCACUCCCCUUGUUGGCACUGUAUUUGGCUCUGACAGCAGUGGAAUUACAGGAAGAUGGGUCUUUUUUAAGAUAAUUUC
rnacentral:lncRNA from 1 species